rnacentral:rRNA from 1 species
AGUGAACGCUGGCGGUAGGCCUAACACAUGCAAGUCGAACGGCAGCACAGUAAGAUCUUGCUCUUACGGGUUGCGAGUGGCGGACGGGUGAGGAAUACAUCGGAAUCUACUUUUUCGUGGGGGAUAACGUAGGGAAACUUACGCUAAUACCGCAUACGACCUACGGGUGAAAGCAGGGGAUCUUCGGACCUUGCGCGAUUGAAUGAGCCGAUGUCGGAUUAGCUAGUUGGCGGGGUAAAGGCCCACCAAGGCGACGAUCCGUAGCUGGUCUGAGAGGAUGAUCAGCCACACUGGAACUGAGACACGGUCCAGACUCCUACGGGAGGCAGCAGUGGGGAAUAUUGGACAAUGGGCGCAAGCCUGAUCCAGCAAUACCGCGUGGGUGAAGAAGGCCUUCGGGUUGUAAAGCCCUUUUGUUGGGAAAGAAAAGCAGCAGGUUAAUACCCCGAUGUUCUGACGGUACCCAAAGAAUAAGCACCGGCUAACUUCGUG